UAAAAGGGUGCUCGUCCUAGCACGUUCGAUCGCUGAACAACGGUGCAGACGCAUUGCGCCGCAGGACCGUCUCCUUUUGGCGUGCGUUUCAAUUGCCGCUCUCGAUGGUUCCCUGCGUGCCCAGUGGGGUAUGGCUUUGCAUAUCCAGUGCAUAAUUUUUGUAUAGGGGCUGGCGGUUGCACCUCGAAUCGUCCUCUGGAUUGCAUGGAGGUCCUCAAGGUCCGAAAUGCGUGCCAGUGGUUAUGUGCGCUGAGCCCCG